rnacentral:rRNA from 1 species
GUGCCAGCAGCCGCGGUAAUACGAAGGGGGCAAGCGUUGUUCGGAAUUACUGGGCGUAAAGGGCGCGUAGGCGGUGCUCUAAGUCAGGCGUGAAAGCCCUGGGCUCAACCCGGGAAUUGCGCUUGAUACUGGAGCGCUUGAAUCCAGGAGAGGUUGGUGGAAUUCCCAGUGUAGAGGUGAAAUUCGUAGAGAUUGGGAAGAACACCGGUGGCGAAGGCGGCCAACUGGACUGGUAUUGACGCUGAGGCGCGAAAGCGUGGGGAGCAAACAGGAUUAGAUACCCUGGUAGUCC